UCUCCGUUGGUGAACCAGCGGAGGGAUCAUUACUGGAAUCGCAAGAUCCCACAACCCUGUGAACCUACCGAAACGUUGCCUCGGCGGGUGCCCGGCCCCCGCGCCGGGCGCUGCGCCCGCCGGCGGCCCCCUACUCUGUCUCUGCAGCGUGGCAUCUCAGAGUCCCAGAAAACAAGUCAAAACUUUCAACAACGGAUCUCUUGGCUCUAACAUCGAUGAAGAACGCAGC
rnacentral:misc_RNA from 1 species